GUUCACUGGGGAGUGCAAGGAGUGUGCCCACUGCAAGUCAGCAGAGAGCAACAUGUGUGAUCUGCUCAGGAUCAACACUGACAGGGGUGUGAUGAUUGGUGAUGGCAAAUCACGCUUUUCCAUCAACGGGAAGCCCAUUUACCAUUUCGUCGGGACUUCGACCUUCAGCGAGUACACUGUCAUGCAUGUUGGUUGCGUUGCGAAGAUCAACCCGGCAGCUCCACUUGAUAAAGUUUGCGUUCUUAGCUGUGGUAUUUCUACUGGUCUUGGUGCUACAAUCAAUGUGGCAAAGCCACCAAAGGGUUCGACGGUGGCGAUAUUUGGUCUAGGAGCUGUAGGCCUUGCUGCCGCAGAAGGUGCAAGGAUUGCAGGAGCGUCAAGGAUCAUUGGCAUUGACCUGAACGCCAACAGAUUUGAAGAAGCUAGGAAAUUUGGUUGCACUGAAUUUGUGAACCCAAAGGACCAUGACAAGCCAGUUCAGCAGGUACUUGCUGAGAUGACCAAUGGCGGAGUUGACCGCAGCGUUGAAUGCACUGGCAACAUCAACGCCAUGAUCCAAGCAUUUGAAUGUGUUCAUGAUGGCUGGGGUGUUGCUGUUUUGGUCGGCGUGCCACACAAGGACGCCGAGUUCAAGACCCACCCGAUGAACUUCCUGAACGAGAGGACUCUCAAGGGAACCUUCUUCGGCAACUACAAGCCACGCACCGAUCUGCCCAACGUCGUCGAGCUCUACAUGAAGAAGGAGCUGGAGGUGGAGAAGUUCAUCACACACAGCGUGCCGUUCUCGGAGAUCAACACGGCGUUCGACCUGAUGCACAAGGGCGAGGGCAUCCGCUGCAUCAUCCGCAUGGAGAACUGAGGUUUUUCAGGGGAUUAUGGUGUUGGGUAAUAAGAUUGGGCAGCUUGAGCAGCCUGCCUUGGGUGAAUGAUGAUAUACGGUUCUUCUGUGUAUCCUGGGCAAAUUUCUGGCUUUGUCAAUCAGUAAUAGUACGGUAUGAAUUCCAGUGUCUGUAGCUGCAAAGAGUUUGUUAAGAAUCAGUGAUCUUUUG
rnacentral:misc_RNA from 1 species